rnacentral:rRNA from 1 species
GAUGAACGCUGGCGGCGUGCCUAAUACAUGCAAGUCGAGCGAACAGAUGAGGAGCUUGCUCCUCUGACGUUAGCGGCGGACGGGUGAGUAACACGUGGAUAACCUACCUAUAAGACUGGGAUAACUUCGGGAAACCGGGGCUAAUACCGGAUAAUAUAUUGAACCGCAUGGUUCAAUAGUGAAAGACGGUUUUGCUGUCACUUAUAGAUGGAUCCGCGCCGCAUUAGCUAGUUGGUAAGGUAACGGCUUACCAAGGCAACGAUGCGUAGCCGACCUGAGAGGGUGAUCGGCCACACUGGAACUGAGACACGGUCCAGACUCCUACGGGAGGCAGCAGUCGGGAAUCUUCCGCAAUGGGCGAAAGCCUGACGGAGCAACGCCGCGUGAGUGAUGAAGGUCUUCGGAUCGUAAAACUCUGUUAUUAGGGAAGAACAAAUGUGUAAGUAACUAUGCACGUCUUGACGGUACCUAAUCAGAAAGCCACGGCUAACUACGUG